ACUCCCAAAAUAUUUGGUGCAAGUCAGUUGUUUUGCUGUUGUUAGAGAGCCUAAGGCAGGCCUGUGGAUCAGCUGAGUGGAUCCGAGGUGCUUAACAAGCUGCAAACAACAACAAUCACUACCAACAACACACCACCAACCACAACCAACCUCUAAUCAACAACCGACAACCAACAACCAACCAACAACCUACCAACAAUCAAAAAACAAGAAUCCACCUCCUGGGCCCUAGAUUCCAGAAGUUAUACAAUAGCAAAGACUGGCUGCAUCUGGCAAAAUCACGCCCCUGCCAGAGCACGAGGCAAAUCACAGUCAGCUGCUGAAGAUAAGUAGAAGCAGCUCCAUAUCUCACACCUGGGAUUAAAAUGAAAACAUUUUCUUACAAUAUUUUUGUGAUUUAAGAGAAGCCAAAAUUCCCAAAUUGUCACUACAGAUGUGUGAAACUGUUCUGAGCAUUUAAAAUCAUCAGUGAUAAAAUCAGAGAAAGUGCUGAGAGUGACAGGUGCUGGCCUGUAAGACUGUCUUCGUUUGGCAAAGGUCGAAUCAGGAUUUGAAAUCCAUUUCUGCUGAGUUGAGCGGGACUGGGUUUUUUGGCAUGGCAGAGGGCAAGGGAGAUGCCUUCAGUGAUCUGGGUGACUUGCAUUUAAAGAAGUGAACCUGGGUAGAUGCAACCUGGGCCUGUCU